CACCUGUUGUAUUCAUCAUUUCACUGUAAGGUCUACUACACCUGUUGUAUUCAGCAUUUCACUGUAAGGUCUACUACACCUGUUUUAUGCAGCCCACGUGACAAAUAAACUUUAGAUUUGGUUUAAUUUGACUACCUUCUGUAUGAUGAUAGCAUUAACAUCAACGUAUAGUCCAGAGGUACAAUACCUGCCGACUAGUAUCAAAUCAGACAAAUAUUGUGGCAAAAAUACGCACUCACAAGUAAACACACAAAUAAACAAACAAGUUAUACAAUGCCAUUAAUCCUGACAUUUUGAACAUGUGUUUGAACAUAAGUUGGGCUAUUUGUGUUUCAUUCUUUAAGACCCAUACAGCAUCCUGGAGUCACCCUGAUCACAGAGGGAAACAUUACAGACAGAAUACAAUACAUCAGAUUCAAAUAUACUAUUCAUUCAUAUUCAAAAAUAAGAUUUUAUUAAUAGUCAAAUAUACGAUUCAUUCAUAUUCAAAUAUAAGAUUUAUUCAUGGUCUAAUAUACUAUUCAUAUUCAAAUAUACUAUUCAUAUUCAAAUAUAUUAUUAAUUCAUAUUCAAAAAUAAGAUUUAUUCAUAUUCAAAUAUACUAUUCAUUCAUAUUCAAAAAUAAGAUUGAUUCAUAUUCAAAUAUACUAUUCAUUCAUAUUCAAAUAUACGAUUUAUUCAUAUUCAAAUAUACUAUUCAUUCAUUUUCAAAAAUAAUUUGUAUUCAUAUUCAAAUAUACUAUUCAUAUUCAAAUAUACUAUUCAUUCAUAUUCAAAUAUACUAUUCAUUCAUAUUCAAAAAUAUUCAAAUAUACUAUUCAUUUAGAAAGUCUCAUUGUCGAUUUAUGUACCCAUGUAUAAUUAUGAUAAGAAUAAAACUCUCUCUCUCUCAACCCAGGUAUAUUACCACCUGUUCUGUCUCUCUUCAACCCAGGUAUACUACCACCUGUUCUGUCUCUCUCUCUUCAACCCAGGUAUAUUACCACCUGUUCUGUCUCUCUCUCUUCAACCCAGGUAUAUUACCACCUGUUCUGUCUCUCUUCAACCCAGGUAUAUUACCACCUGUUCUGUCUCUCUAUACUACAAAGCAGAAUUAAUCAGUAAGCCAGCUGUUUUGCCUAAAUAUUAUGAAAUAACUAUUUUUAUUUUUAGAAUGAUAAGCUUGAAAUGGGUCUUAUUGACUCAAAUGACCAGUUUAAACAGUUUAGCAUUCUUAAUUAACCAGCAAAUCAAUAGUUAUUUCUGAUUGUUUAUAAAAGUUAACUGCCAACUCAUUGAUCUUGCCUUGCAGUAUACCCCUCUGUCUCAUCUUCAUUGGGGCACAGGGGUCAGGGCCGGG
ensembl:lncRNA